rnacentral:rRNA from 1 species
AUACGAAGGGUGCAAGCGUUAAUCGGAAUUACUGGGCGUAAAGCGCGCGUAGGUGGUUUUGUAAGUUGGAGGUGAAAGCCCCGGGCUCAACCUGGGAAUUGCCUCCAAAACUGCAUGACUAGAGUACGGUAGAGGGUAGUGGAAUUUCCUGUGUAGCGGUGAAAUGCGUAGAUAUAGGAAGGAACACCAGUGGCGAAGGCGACUACCUGGACUGAUACUGACACGGAGGUGCGAAAGCGUGGGGAGCAAACAGGAUUAGAUACCCGGGUAGUCCACGCCGUAAACGAUGUCAACUAGCCGUUGGGAUCCUUGAGAUCUUAGUGGCGCAGCUAACGCAUUAAGUUGACCGCCUGGGGAGUACGGCCGCAAGGUUAAAACUCAAAUGAAUUGACGGGG